rnacentral:rRNA from 1 species
AACGAACGCUGGCGGCAUGCCUAACACAUGCAAGUCGAACGAGACCUUCGGGUCUAGUGGCGCACGGGUGCGUAACGCGUGGGAAUCUGCCCUUGGGUUCGGGAUAACAGUUGGAAACGACUGCUAAUACCGGAUGAUGUCUUCGGACCAAAGAUUUAUCGCCCAGGGAUGAUCCCGCGUCGGAUUAGCUAGUUGGUGCGGUAAAGGCGCACCAAGGCGACGAUCCGUAGCUGGUCUGAGAGGAUGAUCAGCCACACUGGGACUGAGACACGGCCCAGACUCCUACGGGAGGCAGCAGUGGGGAAUAUUGGACAAUGGGCGAAAGCCUGAUCCAGCAAUGCCGCGUGAGUGAUGGAGGCCUGAGGGUUGUAAAGCUCUUUUACCCGGGAUGAUAAUGACAGUACCGGGAGAAUAAGCCCCGGCUAACUCCGUGCCAGCCGCCGCAGUAAUAC